rnacentral:rRNA from 1 species
UUAAGCGACUAAGCGUACACGGUGGAUGCCCUGGCAGUCAGAGGCGAUGAAGGACGUGCUAAUCUGCGAUAAGCGUCGGUAAGGUGAUAUGAACCGUUAUAACCGGCGAUUUCCGAAUGGGGAAACCCAGUGUGAUUCGUCACACUAUCAUUAACUGAAUCCAUAGGUUAAUGAGGCGAACCGGGGGAACUGAAACAUCUAAGUACCCCGAGGAAAAGAAAUCAACCGAGAUUCCCCCAGUAGCGGCGAGCGAACGGGGAGCAGCCCAGAGCCUGAAUCAGUAUGUGUGUUAGUGGAAGCGUCUGGAAAGGCGCGCGAUACAGGGUGACAGCCCCGUACACAAAAAUGCACAUGCUGUGAGCUCGAUGAGUAGGGCGGGACACGUGGUAUCCUGUCUGAAUAUGGGGGGACCAUCCUCCAAGGCUAAAUACUCCUGACUGACCGAUAGUGAACCAGUACCGUGAGGGAAAGGCGAAAAGAACCCCGGCGAGGGGAGUGAAAAAGAACCUGAAACCGUGUACGUACAAGCAGUGGGAGCACGCUUAGGCGUGUGACUGCGUACCUUUUGUAUAAUGGGUCAGCGACUUAUAUUCUGUAGCAAGGUUAACCGAAUAGGGGAGCCGAAGGGAAACCGAGUCUUAACUGGGCGUUAAGUUGCAGGGUAUAGACCCGAAACCCGGUGAUCUAGCCAUGGGCAGGUUGAAGGUUGGGUAACACUAACUGGAGGACCGAACCGACUAAUGUUGAAAAAUUAGCGGAUGACUUGUGGCUGGGGGUGAAAGGCCAAUCAAACCGGGAGAUAGCUGGUUCUCCCCGAAAGCUAUUUAGGUAGCGCCUCGUGAAUUCAUCUCCGGGGGUAGAGCACUGUUUCGGCAAGGGGGUCAUCCCGACUUACCAACCCGAUGCAAACUGCGAAUACCGGAGAAUGUUAUCACGGGAGACACACGGCGGGUGCUAACGUCCGUCGUGAAGAGGGAAACAACCCAGACCGCCAGCUAAGGUCCCAAAGUCAUGGUUAAGUGGGAAACGAUGUGGGAAGGCCCAGACAGCCAGGAUGUUGGCUUAGAAGCAGCCAUCAUUUAAAGAAAGCGUAAUAGCUCACUGGUCGAGUCGGCCUGCGCGGAAGAUGUAACGGGGCUAAACCAUGCACCGAAGCUGCGGCAGCGACGCUUAUGCGUUGUUGGGUAGGGGAGCGUUCUGUAAGCCUGCGAAGGUGUGCUGUGAGGCAUGCUGGAGGUAUCAGAAGUGCGAAUGCUGACAUAAGUAACGAUAAAGCGGGUGAAAAGCCCGCUCGCCGGAAGACCAAGGGUUCCUGUCCAACGUUAAUCGGGGCAGGGUGAGUCGACCCCUAAGGCGAGGCCGAAAGGCGUAGUCGAUGGGAAACAGGUUAAUAUUCCUGUACUUGGUGUUACUGCGAAGGGGGGACGGAGAAGGCUAUGUUGGCCGGGCGACGGUUGUCCCGGUUUAAGCGUGUAGGCUGGUUUUCCAGGCAAAUCCGGAAAAUCAAGGCUGAGGCGUGAUGACGAGGCACUACGGUGCUGAAGCAACAAAUGCCCUGCUUCCAGGAAAAGCCUCUAAGCAUCAGGUAACAUCAAAUCGUACCCCAAACCGACACAGGUGGUCAGGUAGAGAAUACCAAGGCGCUUGAGAGAACUCGGGUGAAGGAACUAGGCAAAAUGGUGCCGUAACUUCGGGAGAAGGCACGCUGAUAUGUAGGUGAAGCGACUUGCUCGUGGAGCUGAAAUCAGUCGAAGAUACCAGCUGGCUGCAACUGUUUAUUAAAAACACAGCACUGUGCAAACACGAAAGUGGACGUAUACGGUGUGACGCCUGCCCGGUGCCGGAAGGUUAAUUGAUGGGGUCAGCGCAAGCGAAGCUCUUGAUCGAAGCCCCGGUAAACGGCGGCCGUAACUAUAACGGUCCUAAGGUAGCGAAAUUCCUUGUCGGGUAAGUUCCGACCUGCACGAAUGGCGUAAUGAUGGCCAGGCUGUCUCCACCCGAGACUCAGUGAAAUUGAACUCGCUGUGAAGAUGCAGUGUACCCGCGGCAAGACGGAAAGACCCCGUGAACCUUUACUAUAGCUUGACACUGAACAUUGAGCCUUGAUGUGUAGGAUAGGUGGGAGGCUUUGAAGUGUGGACGCCAGUCUGCAUGGAGCCGACCUUGAAAUACCACCCUUUAAUGUUUGAUGUUCUAACGUUGACCCGUGAUCCGGGUUGCGGACAGUGUCUGGUGGGUAGUUUGACUGGGGCGGUCUCCUCCUAAAGAGUAACGGAGGAGCACGAAGGUUGGCUAAUCCUGGUCGGACAUCAGGAGGUUAGUGCAAUGGCAUAAGCCAGCUUGACUGCGAGCGUGACGGCGCGAGCAGGUGCGAAAGCAGGUCAUAGUGAUCCGGUGGUUCUGAAUGGAAGGGCCAUCGCUCAACGGAUAAAAGGUACUCCGGGGAUAACAGGCUGAUACCGCCCAAGAGUUCAUAUCGACGGCGGUGUUUGGCACCUCGAUGUCGGCUCAUCACAUCCUGGGGCUGAAGUAGGUCCCAAGGGUAUGGCUGUUCGCCAUUUAAAGUGGUACGCGAGCUGGGUUUAGAACGUCGUGAGACAGUUCGGUCCCUAUCUGCCGUGGGCGCUGGAGAACUGAGGGGGGCUGCUCCUAGUACGAGAGGACCGGAGUGGACGCAUCACUGGUGUUCGGGUUGUCAUGCCAAUGGCACUGCCCGGUAGCUAAAUGCGGAAGAGAUAAGUGCUGAAAGCAUCUAAGCACGAAACUUGCCCCGAGAUGAGUUCUCCCUGACUCCUUGAGAGUCCUGAAGGAACGUUGAAGACGACGACGUUGAUAGGCCGGGUGUGUAAGCGCAGCGAUGCGUUGAGCUAACCGGUACUAAUGAACCGUGAGGCUUAACCUU